rnacentral:tRNA from 1 species
CAGAAAAUAGUUUAUAAAAAUAUUAAUUUUGGAGAUUAAAGAUGGAGUUACUUUCUUUUCUGA